CAAGAUUAAAACUCAAAGGAAUUGACGGGGACCCGCACAAGCGGUGGAUGAUGUGGAUUAAUUCGAUGCAACGCGAAAAACCUUACCUACCCUUGACAUGUACGGAAGCCACGAGAGAUCGAGGCGUGCUCGAAAGAGAGCCGUAACACAGGUGCUGCAUGGCUGUCGUCAGCUCGUGUCGUGAGAUGUUGGGUUAAGUCCCGCAACGAGCGCAACCCUUGUCAUUAGUUGCUACGAAAGAGCACUCUAAUGGGACUGCCGGUGACAAACCGGAGGAAGGUGGGGAUGACGUCAAGUCCUCAUGGCCCUUAUGGGUAGGGCUUCACACGUCAUACAAUGGUACAUACAGAGGGCCGCCAACCCGCGAGGGGGAGCUAAUCCCAGAAAGUGUAUCGUAGUCCGGAUUGUAGUCUGCAACUCGACUACAUGAAGUUGGUAAUCGCUAGUAAU
rnacentral:rRNA from 1 species